rnacentral:tRNA from 1 species
GCGAGAGUUGCCCAGCCAGGUCAAAGGCGCCAGGUUCAGAGCCUGGUCUUGUAGGAGUUCAAUAAAUUAACCAUUGACUCUGCAUCCUCUUUUUUUUGACAACAAAAAGGAGAUUAAUUCUAUGAUUUAUAAAGCUUCUUGUGAGUUGUGGCAAGAUUAAUCUCUUAAGCAACGGACUUAAGAUCUGUUAUCGAAGGAUUUCGUGUGUUUGAAUCCCACCCCUCGCA